CAAGAUCAAGCGACAUCGUACCCACCUCUCCUGCGCCUCGGCUUGGCCAGCGAACUUUUGGUGCAGCAGGCACCGCGCCAGCACUCUAUUGCCACCUGGUUUGGACUUCAUGGUGUUCACUGCCCCGGGGUGACAAAGUGCACAAGAACUUGAAUAAGCACCACUUGUUCCAGCAAUGCUCCAGGUCCAAGAAUUUCCCGUCAUCUUCCCCGAAUCAUGUCAAACUCAAUUGAGGCAGAGCUAUCUCAAGUUACUCCAAACAACUUUUUCUUGUCCAAUACACCAGUUAAAGAAAAUACCAAGCAAUCAUUCUUAUUCUGAAUUAGAUCAAGGCUGCAAUAUGAUGUAAAAAGGUAAGAGAUGCUUCUCCUUAACCUAAG